GAUGAACGCUGGCGGCGUGCCUAGUACAUGCAAGUCGAGCGAACAGACGAGGAGCUUGCUCCUCUGACGUUAGCGGCGGGCGGGUGAGUAACACGUGGAUAACCUACCUAUAAGACUGGGAUAACUUCGGGAAACCGGAGCUAAUACCGGAUAAUAUAUUGAACCGCAUGGUUCAAUAGUGAAAGACGGUUUUGCUGUCACUUAUAGAUGGAUCCGCGCCGCAUUAGCUAGUUGGUAAGGUAACGGCUUACCAAGGCAACGAUGCGUAGCCGACCUGAGAGGGUGAUCGGCCACACUGGAACUGAGACACGGUCCAGACUCCUACGGGAGGCAGCAGUAGGGAAUCUUCCGCAAUGGGCGAAAGCCUGACGGAGCAACGCCGCGUGAGUGAUGAAGGUCUUCGGAUCGUAAAACUCUGUUAUUAGGGAAGAACAAAUGUGUAAGUAACUAUGCACGUCUUGACGGUACCUAAUCAGAAAGCCACGGCUAACUACGUG
rnacentral:rRNA from 1 species